UGUGUACUCCCUCCAUCCAAAUAAUACUUGUCACACAAAUGGAUGCAUCUAGAUGUAUUUUAAUUUUUUAUACAUCUAUUUUUAUAAUUUUGUGUGACCAGUAAUUCUGGAUGGAGGGGGUACUAG
rfam:Hordeum vulgare subsp. vulgare, WGS project CAJW01000000 data, contig: morex_contig_54011